AGCCAGACUCCUACGGGAGGCAGCAGUGAGGAAUAUUGGUCAAUGGGCGUAAGCCUGAACCAGCCAAGUCGCGUGAGGGAUGAAGGAUCUAUGGUUCGUAAACCUCUUUUAUAAGGGAAUAAAGUGCGGGACGUGUCCUGUUUUGUAUGUACCUUAUGAAUAAGGAUCGGCUAACUCCGUGCCAGCAGCCGCGGUAAUACGGAGGAUCCGAGCGUUAUCCGGAUUUAUUGGGUUUAAAGGGUGCGUAGGCGGAUUUUUAAGUCAGCGGUAAAAUGUCCGGGCUCAACCCGGGCCGGCCGUUGAAACUGGGGAUCUUGAGUGGGCGAGAAGUAUGCGGAAUGCGUGGUGUAGCGGUGAAAUGCAUAGAUAUCACGCAGAACUCCGAUUGCGAAGGCAGCAUACCGGCGCCCGACUGACGCUGAGGCACGAAAGCGUGGGGAUCGAACAGGAUUAGAUACCCCUGUAA
rnacentral:rRNA from 1 species